UCUCUGCGGCCAUCAUGGGAUCGUGCUCUUCUCGCUCGUUGAGCUGGUCCCUUCGCCGUGGCCUGCUGGUGACGGUCUGGAGCGAUGCUGAGCCCGGGCCCAGCCUCUCAGCUCCGCCUUGUGCGCUGCACAGAUCUAGGGGAGCCUGGUAAGUCGAGGUCUGCAUCGCGGGGCGCCGCGCGUGGGCGGGGUGUCGGCUGCAAUGAUGAUGAAACUAGAAAAAAAAGGAAGUGCCGUCCGAUGCGACAACUGACGACAUCCCUAGUUAGCUGACUGCAGUCGUUUAAGCCUCGGCGACCCAGUGCUGAACACAAGUGUUCUAAUUGCCCCUCAUGACUCUUACUCUUCUAACCUUUCAGACGGGACGUUGACAACGUGGAAUAGGAGCAGUAUCAUCCCACCAUGAGGUAAGGGUUUCUGGAGUAUCAGGUGGGGUUCAUAGACAAGAGGCUGUGUAGCUUUCGCUCCAGGGACUCCCAACAUACCCUGGCCCAUGUGGGCACAUACAUAAAUUUAAGACGUGUCUCCAUUUAGUGGCUGGAACUACUAGUUGGAGGACAGCAGAAAGCUUGACUGCUGUGAUGAGAUGACUAAGUAGGAAGUGCCGUCAGAGUCGAUAACUGACGAUAACUGCUCCUGGCUGACUGCAGUCAAGCCCACACCGGUGGCUGGGGUUUAGGUUUAACUUGGGCUGGACUUUUAACAACUGCUGUACUUCUAGGUUGGGGAUUUAAGAGUGGAAGAUUGCCAACAGCUGUGGCCUCCCAUGAGGGUGUCCCCUUUCAAGUUCUCAGAACGGACGCAGGACUGCAGAUCUGUGCUGGCAGCAGCAGAGGUGAGUUGGUCUGUACAGUGACUAUCUGUUAUUACUCUGAGAGAUAUCAAAUGAUGAUAUCACCUAAAAUAGCUGGAAUUACCGGCAGAUUGGUAGUGGUGAGCCUAUGGUUUUCUGAAGAUAUCAUUAAAUGUUCUAAAUGCCAUUGAUCCAGGCAGGAGUGAUUCUGAAAUUCAGCUCUUUUGCAGGCUAUAUUCCCAGAGGAGUCUCCAGCCGGCCUGAAAGCAAAUAUCCUAAGUGACAUGUCUGCCAAUUUUGUUCUGGGUGGGCACAUUUGGUAAUCCUGUCUGUACCACAGGAUCUUCUAUGCCUUUUAAAAAUAAACAUUUGUUUAUAAACCAGA
rnacentral:lncRNA from 1 species